rnacentral:rRNA from 1 species
UACGUAGGAUGCAAGCGUUUGUCCGGGAUUUACUGGGCGUAAAGCGCGCGCAGGCGGCAUGGCAAGGUAAGGUCGUGAAAUCCAUCUGACUCAACGGGGUGGGGUGCACUUUAGACUGCCAAGCUGAGAGGUCGGCAAGAGGGGGGUGGAAUUCCACGUGUAGCAGUGAAAUGCCGUAGAGAUGUGGAGGAACACCGAUGGCGAAGGCAGCCCCCUGGGCCGAACACUGACGGCUCAGGCACGAAAGCGUGGGGAGCAAACAGG